GACGAACGCUGGCGGCGUGCUUAACACAUGCAAGUCGAACGGAAAGGCCCAGCUUGCUGGGUACUCGAGUGGCGAACGGGUGAGUAACACGUGGGUGAUCUGCCCUGGACUCUGGGAUAAGCCUGGGAAACUGGGUCUAAUACCGGAUAUGACCUUACAUCGCAUGGUGUUUGGUGGAAAGCUUUUGCGGUUCAGGAUGGGCCCGCGGCCUAUCAGCUUGUUGGUGGGGGAAUGGCCUACCAAGGCGACGACGGGUAGCCGACCUGGGAGGGUGAACGCCGACACUGGGCCUACGGCACGCCGCAGUCUGCUACGGGAGGCAGCGGUGGGGAAUAUUGCACAAUGGGCGCAAGCCUGAUGCAGCGGCGCCGCGUGUGUGAUGACGGCCUUCUGGUUGUAAACCUCUUUCGCCAGAGACGAAGCGUGAGUGACGGUACCUGAAGAAGAAGCACCGGCCAACUACGUG
rnacentral:rRNA from 1 species